AGAUAGAUUUCAGAACCAUCCUCAGAGAUAGUUUUCCUAUCUCUGAGGAUGGUUCUGAAAAAGUUUU